AAGAUGGAUGAUCGCGGCUGCAGGUGUCGAAAGACCGCAGGUGAGGAAAGUCCGGGCUUCACAGGGCAGGAUGCCGGCUAACGGCCGGUGGAGGUGACUCCAAGGAUAGUGCAACAGAAAUAUACCGCCGGGAAACCGGUAAGGGUGGAAGGGUAGUGUAAGAGACUACCGCCUUUCCGGUAACGGAAAGGGCAUAUGUAAACCCCAUUCGAAGCAAGACCGAAACAAAGCGUUGACGUGGACCCGCCAGCUUUAGGUUGGUCGCUUGAGGUGAUUGGCAACAGUUACCCUAGAUAGAUGAUCAUCUGAAAAACAUAACCCGGCUUACAGUUUUACUUA
rnacentral:RNase_P_RNA from 1 species